rnacentral:rRNA from 1 species
GACUGUUUGGUUAAAGUAAAGCAAAGCGAUAGUCUGUGUGAAUGCUAGUGCAAUAUGAUUUCUGUUAGUGUUUUGGAUGUUAAAAUGAAGAUAUUCAACUAAGCGCGGGUAAACAAUUGAAGUAACUAUGACUAAUUUUAGUUAGUCAAAUGUCUCGUCAUCUAAUAAGUGACACACAUGAAUGAAUUAAU